AGCGAACGCUGGCGGCAGGCCUAACGCAUGCAAGUCGAGCGCCCAGCAAUGGGAGCGGCAGACGGGUGAGUAACGCGUGGGGAUGUGCCCAAUGGUGCGGAAUAACCCAGGGAAACUUGGAUUAAUACCGCAUGUGCCCUUCGGGGGAAAGAUUUAUCGCCAUUGGAUCAACCCGCGUCUGAUUAGCUAGUUGGUGAGGUAAAGGCUCACCAAGGCGACGAUCAGUAGCUGGUCUGAGAGGAUGAUCAGCCACACUGGGACUGAGACACGGCCCAGACUCCGACGGGAGGCAGCAGUGGGGAAUAUUGGACAAUGGGCGCAAGCCUGAUCCAGCCAUGCCGCGUGAGUGAUGAAGGCCUUAGGGUUGUAAAGCUCUUUCGCCGGUGAAGAUAAUGACGGUAACCGGAGAAGAAGCCCCGGCUAACUUCGUGCCAGCCGCCGCAGUAA
rnacentral:rRNA from 1 species